CGGCGUGGAUUAGGCAUGCAAGUCGAGCGGGUAUAGCAAUAUAUCAGCGGCGAAAGGGAGAGUAACGCCUAGGCUACGUACCCCCGGAGUCCGGAAUAGCCAGCCGAAAGGCUGGGUAAUGCCGGAUGAUGUCUCCGGACUAAAGGUGUGAUUCCGCUUUGGGAGCGGGCUGCGUUGUACUAGCUUGUUGGUAGGGUAAUGGCCUACCAAGGCAAUGAUGCAUACCGGGCGUGAGAGCGUGGCCCGGCUCACUGGGACUGAGACACUGCCCAGACACCUACGGGUGGCUGCAGUCGAGAAUCUUCGGCAAUGAGCGCAAGCUUGACCGAGCGACGCCGCGUGCGGGAUGAAGGCCUUCGGGUUGUAAACCGCGAAAGUAGGGAGGAAAUCGCUGGGGGUUCUCCCCCAGUGUUGACCUAUCUUCAGUAAGGACGGGCUAAGUUCGUGCCAGCAGCCGCGGUAAUACGAACCGUCCAAACGUUAUUCGGAUUUAUUGGGCUUAAAGGGUAUGUAGGCGGCCCUGCAAGUCGGGUGUGAAAGCCCUCGGCUCAACCGAGGAACUGCGCCCGAUACUGCAGGGCUUGAGGGAGACAGAGGUAAGCGGAACUGAUGGUGGAGCGGUGAAAUGCGUUGAUAUCAUCAGGAACACCAGUGGCGAAAGCGGCUUACUGGGUCUCUUCUGACGCUGAGAUACGAAAGCUAGGGGAGCGAACGGGAUUAGAUACCCCGGUAGUCCUAGCUGUAAACGAUGAGCACUUGAUCGAGGGGCCCCCCAUAG
rnacentral:rRNA from 1 species